rnacentral:lncRNA from 1 species
AGCAGAGCACGGCCCAGGCUGGCAGUGGGGGGCUCUCCAGGCUGGGUACACCCAAUGCCAGCUCAGAUGGAAACCUGGGUGCGUUGGCCAGGAGCCCUGUGCCUGGACAGGUCAGUGUGGAGCGUCCACAUGGCUUCACUUCUGCGUGAGGUGCCAGCCUGGGCCAGGUGCUGCCGCGUGCAGGCCUGUGUGCGCAUGCGCGUGUCCACAUGUUUCCCUAACAACACGGUGCGGAGACAGGAUCAGGCCGCGAAGCAGGGUGUAUGCCAGCCGUGAGGGGAGACUGCUGCAGAGCUGAGUGUCACAACUGCUGGUUUCCUUUCAUUCUGGAAUACUGGAGAUUCCAGAGCUGUUAUGCGUCGUUCCGGGACAUGAUCCAGGCUUAGGGCUUCCAGGUCUUGACAGUGAGGAGGGAAUGGGGACUCUACCAUGGAGAAGACAGGAUUCCUCUUUGGUUGAUGACUCAAAAAACCACAGGGAUGCUCCAUGACUAUUACAAGACUUCAAAAUUACAGUAAAUUUG